GAUGAACGCUGGCGGCGUGCCUAAUACAUGCAAGUCGAGCGAACAGAUGAGAAGCUUGCUUCUCUGAUGUUAGCGGCGGACGGGUGAGUAACACGUGGGUAACCUACCUAUAAGACUGGGAUAACUCCGGGAAACCGGGGCUAAUACCGGAUAAUAUUUUGAACCGCAUGGUUCAAUAGUGAAAGACGGUUUCGGCUGUCACUUAUAGAUGGACCCGCGCCGUAUUAGCUAGUUGGUAAGGUAACGUCUUACCAAGGCGACGAUACGUAGCCGACCUUGAGGGGUGAUCGGCCACACUGGAACUGAGACAGGGUCCAGACGCCUACGGGAGGCAGCAGUAGGGAAUCUUCCGCAAUGGGCGAAAGCCUGACGGAGCAACGCCGCGUGAGUGAUGAAAGUCUUCGGAUCGUAAAACUCUGUUGUUAGGGAAGAACAAAUUUGUUAGUAACUGAACAAGUCUUGACGGUACCUAACCAGAAAGCCACGGCUAACUACGUGCCAGCCGCCGCCGUAA
rnacentral:rRNA from 1 species